rnacentral:tRNA from 1 species
UAUAUUUUAGUGUAAAAGCAUGUAAAAUUUUGAAUUUUACGGAAUUAAAAUAAUUAAUAAAUAUAA